UACGUAGGUGGCAAGCGUUGUCCGGAAUUAUUGGGCGUAAAGAGCGUGUAGGCGGCCAGGUAGGUCUGCUGUGAAAACUCGAGGCUUAACCUCGAGCUGUCGGCGGAAACCAUCUGGCUAGAGUCCGGAAGAGGAGAAUGGAAUUCCCGGUGUAGCGGUGAAAUGCGCAGAUAUCGGGAAGAACACCCGUGGCGAAGGCGGUUCUCUGGGACGGUACCGACGCUGAGACGCGAAAGCGUGGGGAGCGAACAGG
rnacentral:rRNA from 1 species